UACGUAGGGUGCAAUCGUUAAUCGGAAUUACUGGGCGUAAAGCGUGCGCAGGCGGUUCGCUAAGACAGAUGUGAAAUCCCCGGGCUUAACCUGGGAACUGCAUUUGUGACUGGCGGGCUAGAGUAUGGCAGAGGGGGGUAGAAUUCCACGUGUAGCAGUGAAAUGCGUAGAGAUGUGGAGGAAUACCGAUGGCGAAGGCAGCCCCCUGGGCCAAUACUGACGCUCAUGCACGAAAGCGUGGGGAGCAAACAGG
rnacentral:rRNA from 1 species